GAAAUGCGAUAAGUAAUGUGAAUUGCAGAAUUCAGUGAAUCAUCGAAUCUUUGAACGCACAUUGCGCCCGCCAGUGUUCUGGCGGGCAUGCCUGUCCGAGCGUCAUUUCAACCAUCAAGCCCCCGGGCUUGUGUUGGGGACCUGCGGCUGCCCGCAGGCCCUGAAAACCAGUGGCGGGCUCGCUGUCACACCGAGCGUAGUAGCAAUCACCUCGCUCAGGGCGUGCUGCGGGUUCCGGCCGUUAAACAGCCUUACAAAACCCAAGGUUGACCUCGGAUCAGGUAGGAAGACCCGCUGAACUUAAGC
rnacentral:misc_RNA from 1 species